CGCACUACAUUGUGAUGCCUGUGUACUUCUGUCUAUAGCAUUUCAGUAUGAGUUGAACCUCUCUACUGCUUUACCUUUGGCAGCAUCAUUAGGGGAAUCAUUAGCCGGACCAGAACAAAAGUUCCAGGCUGGCCAAUGUCAACUCUGUGCAAAUUUUCAGGCACAGAGUUAUGUUCAUUGGCUGAUAGCAGUCAAAUGACG